rnacentral:tRNA from 1 species
GCCGGCAUAGCUCAGCUGGUAGAGCAACUGACUUGUAAUCAGUAGGUCCCGGGUUCGACUCCUGGUGCCGGCACCA